AGGAUGAACGCUAGCUACAGGCUUAACACAUGCAAGUCGAGGGGAAACGACAUCGAAGGCUUGCUUUUGAUGGGCGUCGACCGGCGCACGGGUGAGUAACGCGUAUCCAACCUGCCCAUCACUUGGGGAUAACCUUGCGAAAGUAAGACUAAUACCCAAUGAUAUCUCUAGAAGACAUCUGAAAGAGAUUAAAGAUUUAUCGGUGAUGGAUGGGGAUGCGUCUGAUUAGCUUGUUGGCGGGGUAACGGCCCACCAAGGCGACGAUCAGUAGGGGUUCUGAGAGGAAGGUCCCCCACAUUGGAACUGAGACACGGUCCAAACUCCUACGGGAGGCAGCAGUGAGGAAUAUUGGUCAAUGGACGAGAGUCUGAACCAGCCAAGUAGCGUGCAGGAUGACGGCCCUAUGGGUUGUAAACUGCUUUUAUAAGGGAAUAAAGUGAGAGUCGUGACUCUUUUUGCAUGUACCUUAUGAAUAAGGACCGGCUAAUUCCGUGCCAGCAGCCGCGGUAAUACGGAAGGUCCGGGCGUUAUCCGGAUUUAUUGGGUUUAAAGGGAGCGUAGGCCGGAGAUUAAGCGUGUUGUGAAAUGUAGACGCUCAACGUCUGCACUGCAGCGCGAACUGGUUUCCUUGAGUACGCACAAAGUGGGCGGAAUUCGUGGUGUAGCGGUGAAAUGCUUAGAUAUCACGAAGAACUCCGAUUGCGAAGGCAGCUCACUGGAGCGCAACUGACGCUGAAGCUCGAAAGUGCGGGUAUCGAACAGGAUUAGAUACCCUGGUAGUCCGCACGGUAAACGAUGGAUGCCCGCUGUUGGUCUGAAUAGGUCAGCGGCCAAGCGAAAGCAUUAAGCAUCCCACCUGGGGAGUACGCCGGCAACGGU
rnacentral:rRNA from 1 species